CUCUGGAUCAGUGGCGAACGGGUGAGUAACACGUGAGCAAUCUGCCCCUGACUCUGGGAUAAGCGCUGGAAACGGCGUCUAAUACCGGAUACGAGCUGCGAAGGCAUCUUCAGCAGCUGGAAAGAACUUCGGUCAGGGAUGAGCUCGCGGCCUAUCAGCUAGUUGGUGAGGUAAUGGCUCACCAAGGCGUCGACGGGUAGCCGGCCUGAGAGGGUGACCGGCCACACUGGGACUGAGACACGGCCCAGACUCCUACGGGAGGCAGCAGUGGGGAAUAUUGCACAAUGGGCGCAAGCCUGAUGCAGCAACGCCGCGUGAGGGACGACGGCCUUCGGGUUGUAAACCUCUUUUAGCAGGGAAGAAGCGAAAGUGACGGUACCUGCAGAAAAAGCACCGGCUAACUACGUGCCAGCAGCCGCGGUAAUACGUAGGGUGCAAGCGUUAUCCGGAAUUAUUGGGCGUAAAGAGCUCGUAGGCGGUUUGUCGCGUCUGCUGUGAAAACUGGGGGCUCAACCCCCAGCCUGCAGUGGGUACGGGCAGACUAGAGUGCGGUAGGGGAGAUUGGAAUUCCUGGUGUAGCGGUGGAAUGCGCAGAUAUCAGGAGGAACACCGAUGGCGAAGGCAGAUCUCUGGGCCGUAACUGACGCUGAGGAGCGAAAGGGUGGGGAGCAAACAGGCUUAGAUACCCUGGUAGUCCACCCCGUAAACGUUGGGAACUAGUUGUGGGGUCCAUUCCACGGAUUCCGUGACGCAGCUAACGCAUUAAGUUCCCCGCCUGGGGGAGUACGGCCGCAAGGCUAAAACUCAAAGGAAUUGACGGGGACCCGCACAAGCGGCGGAGCAUGCGGAUUAAUUCGAUGCAACGCGAAGAACCUUACCAAGGCUUGACAUAUACGAGAACGGGCCAGAAAUGGUCAACUCUUUGGACACUCGUAAACAGGUGG
rnacentral:rRNA from 1 species